rnacentral:lncRNA from 12 species
GAUUCUGGGGGUCACGGGGCCACCCCCUCUGCUCUGGGAUUUCAGGGGGGGAGCUCUGGAGGUGGCUGAGCUGCUACACCUGCGGGCUGGUGUGCAUCGCCUGCGUCCUGGACGGCGCCGCCGGCGUCCUCUGGAUGUGGGAGGAAGGCCCGUCUGUGGCUGUCAUCCUGCCUGAGAUCACCCUGAGCUACCUCACCGUGGUCACCUUCCUGGUCGCCACCACGGUGCUUUUCCAGCCUGCAGAUUUCAGCCACCUGAAGAGCAAAAAAGGUGAGGGGUCCGUCCCUUCCGGGAUGGACCAAACCGCCCCCCAGGGCCGGAUCAGCCCCCCUGUUUGUGCAGGGAGAGCGGCAGCGCCGGGGGUGCCCGGGCGGUGCCCGCACCGUGCCCGGACCGUGCCCCCUCCCGCAGCACACCGCACCAUGGGCUACGCCGCCCCCGGCGCCGUGCUGGCCGUGCUGCUCAGCAGCUGCUUCCUCAUCCGGAGCGUCUACCAGCGCCACGAAGGAGGAUGCACAAAGUUCAUGGAUGUGACUGUCCUGGUGGCCAGCACGGCGGCUGUGGUGGCCCUGCCCCUCCUCGUGGGGGGGGGGGGGGGGGGGGGGGGGGGGGGGGGGGGGGGGGGGGGGGGGGGGGGGGGGGGGGGGGGGGGGGGGGGGGGGGGGGGGGGGGGCCCUGCCCCUCCUCGUCAUCGGCCUCUGCUAUCAAAGGACUCAGAGCUGUCCCAAGGAGCAGGAUGGCUCUUGGAUAGACAAACUCAGCUUUGAGAUGUCUGAGCCAGGCCCCAAGGACACCACUCCCAGCUGAGAUCCACGAGGUGGCUCUGACCUGGCUAAGCCAGCCCCAAGCCCUCCCCAGGUUCAGGGGGUCCAGGACUCACAGUUUUGGUUCCUCCAUGAUCCUCGUAAUAAAUGUCCACAAAAUUAACCUGAUUCUGCCUUUUUUUUUUUAAUAAAAGUUUUUUU